AGCUCCAAUAGCGUAUAUUAAAGUUGUUGCAGUUAAAAAGCUCGUAGUUGGAUUUCUGGCCGAAGCGACCGGUCGGUACCCUUUGUGGUAUGUGCACUGUUGUCGGCUUCGGCCAUCCUGGCGGAAAAGGUGCCUGGCCUUCACUGGUCGGGUGCGGGAUCCGCCACGUUUACUGUGAAAAAAUUAGAGUGUUUAAAGCAGGCGAUCGCUGUGAAUACAUUAGCAUGGAAUAAUGAGAUAGGACUUUGGUACUAUUUUGUUGGUUUGCGCACCAAGGUAAUGAUUAAUAGGGAUAGUUGGGGGUAUUCAUAUUCAAUUGUCAGAGGUGAAAUUCUUGGAUUUAUGGAAGAUGAACUUAUGCGAAAGCAUUUACCAAGGAUGUUUUCA
rnacentral:rRNA from 1 species